UUUGCUGUUGGCCUGUGUAAUCAGCCGCUUUCAAGACUGAGUUCUUUUAAUAAUAUCGAGAAUGAAGACUAUAAAUCAAAUACAGGCAAAGAAUAUUUAAGACAUCCUGAUUCAUAUUUACCUCCGAUGCAUUUUCCAAGUGAAACGGAUGGGGAAAGCUCUAUGAACGAGGGACCGAUUUCAAGGAGAGAAACUUAAAGCCGAAGAACAAUAAUUGAGAAUUCAGAGGAGGCGUACCUAUUUCCAUGCGCUGUCAAAGAAAUGGGCUCCAAUAGCAAUAUUUCAGUUCGUCUCUGUUGAAUUGAAGAUUCCGAACUGGAAGAAUUUUUGCCACAACAUCAAAAAA